rnacentral:pre_miRNA from 1 species
UUCAAGUAAUCCAGGAUAGGCUGGUUAACGCUGCACGGCCUAUUCUUGAUUACUUGUUUC